rnacentral:rRNA from 1 species
GUUUCGGUGGUCAUAGCGUGAGGGAAACGCCCGGUUACAUCCCGAACCCGGAAGCUAACCCUCAUAGCGCCAAUGGUACUGCAGG